UACGUAGGUGGCGAGCGUUGUCCGGACUUACUGGGCGUAAAGGGAGCGUAGGCGGACUUUUAAGUGAGAUGUGAAAUACUCGGGCUCAACUUGAGUGCUGCAUUUCAAACUGGAAGUCUAGAGUGCAGGAGAGGAGAAUGGAAUUCCUAGUGUAGCGGUGAAAUGCGUAGAGAUUAGGAAGAACACCAGUGGCGAAGGCGAUUCUCUGGACUGUAACUGACGCUGAGGCUCGAAAGCGUGGGGAGCAAACAGG
rnacentral:rRNA from 1 species